GUCAGUUUGGCCGAGUGGUUAAGGCGACAGACUAGAAAUCUGUUGGGCUCUGACCGAACCUGUUCAAAUCCUGUAGCUGACG
rnacentral:tRNA from 1 species